rnacentral:other from 14 species
AUUUCCACUGCUGCACCGGGGGCACACGCAUCUUCCCCAGGACUUGGAAUUCCGGAGAAUUGCCUUUGUGAGAAGCUGGCAGUAAUUUCUUUAAAUUCCAUCUCUUAGUUUUCCAUGUAAGUAUUCGUGGUUGUUAAGAAUUA